ensembl:lncRNA
UUCAUUCAUGUACUGUCACUUGAGAUGGUUACAGCUGUGACAAUUGGUACAGGGAAGUUUGAGAGCCUCCCUUAACAUGUUCUCCCUAGAUGUCUCAUCCCUGCACCCCAUCCUCCUUGCUACACUUUGGUCUUCAUCCACCAACUAGCCUACCAUAAGUUGUUCCUUUAAAUACUUUUUCUAAAAUGAAAUGAAAUGUAUUUAAUAUGACUUUUCCCUCAAAAUGCAUUUUUUACAUUUUUAAAUUUUUAAAAUUAGUAUAAACUGGCACUGAUGUCUACAGUACUAUGACAAUUCAUACUAUCCACAUGCUGGAACCUGUAUUUAUUUAAGCUUUUAAACAUAAUUUGAAUCUAGACAAGAAAAUAUGUAUCUCCUUGGAUUUACCAAGUGUUGGAUGUUUAAGGCUUAAAGAUAAACUUUUUAAUGGAUUCAGGAGCAUUACUUUGUGUAAAAUUUAAAAAUUUUGGUUACAAAUAGUUCCUCAUCCUUGUCUUAUUGCAUUUACAUAUAAAUGCAUUCAAAAAUUUUCCCCUGUAAAUGUGUUAUCUUCAGGUAAACCAAUUCAACUAUGUUGUAAACUAUUGGUCAUACAAAGAUUUGAUUUUGUGAAUAGCACUUUAAAUAUUAUCAUUGGCUGCCAAAUGAAACCUAUGAAUGAUUCUUUCACCACACAUGCAUUAAGUAAUCCUUGUUUAAAAAGAGCUUAUGACACAUGUUAGAAAAACCCUCAGUUUUUAAAAUUUUACUUAGUAGAUCAAACAACCUCUUUUUCAGAAUCUUCAGCUUCUUUCCUUUUACAUAACUUUCUUCACCAUACAAAUCUGUUGGUACAAUGAUAUCAAAAUUGUGAACUCAAACUAUUAAAUUUUAAAUAUUUAUUGUAUUAUGGCAGAUUGAUUAUAUUAAAUAGAAGCACAAUGAGAAUGUUCAUCUCAUCCAGCUUUAUAAUCUUUUGUGUUGUUGUACAAAUAAUUAUGAUUGAGUUAUUUUUUUGGAUACAUUUUGUCAUUUACCAAGACAAAAAGAAUACUCUUGAACAAUUCAUGUGACCUAUAUAAGGUAUCUAUUUUAGGAAGAAGCAAACAAUUUGUUAAAGAUAAUAUAUACUAUAAAGGGAAUUGAAGGAUGAAAAAAAAUCUUGACUAGAUGCAGAUAUUUAUAGUGCAGAUGACUAGUCUGACUAAGUCACUUUAGGCUUUCUUUCUGAUUAAUGAAGAUAAAGAGGCAGUGGUAAGACAGUAAAAAAACAUCCCUCUGGGUCAAACAGACAUAGAGGACACUACCAUCAAUUCCACAGCCAGUGCAGAUACAAUGUCUGAAAGAAUCAGCUUGGUUUUUGGCCUUUGGGGCACUUACUGUGAAAUAAAGCCAUAUCAGGUACAUACAUGUGUUAUGUAGGCUCAUGUAUGUUACGAUUAGAACUGACCUUCUACUAGAAUCCUUGCAAAAAAGCAUAGAGAUCUUUGCCAAUGUUUGCCUAUUCUUAAGUUUCUCUUGCCUUUACCUGACAUGGGCUGGGAAAGAGAAACUUCCUUGGGACAUGACACACGGUUCUACCUCUUUGUGUUCAGGCAACUGGAUUAAGUCAUGGGGAUGAGAUUCAAUUCAAGAGAAAAUAUUUUAUGUUAGGUGAGUACACAUAGUCAAGAUGAUUAAAUUUUCUUUGCUUGGUAUUUUUAUUUUUUUUUUAAUUAAGAGUGAUCUAAAGAACAAAGUCAAUGAAACUUCUAAAGGUGCAAUGAAGCAACCUUAACAUAGAUGUCAGGAGCCAUUUAAUAUAACAAAGCCAUUCAUCCUGUCUUCCAGAUUCUUCUCAAAGAGGAUAUAGAUUUAAUAUAGGUCUUAAUCAUAGCUUCUAAGCUCAUAUAUAUUUCUCAUAUACCAGAAGACCUUCAAAAUGCAGGUUUGAUGAACCAAGGUCCUAAUCUCUACUGACAAUAUUGUAAAUUUAGAUACUUAGCUUAGAGUUUUUGUUCUCUGUUAAGUGUGUUUUACUUGUAGACUGAAACUAGAGCUAAACUACUAUGAAAUCCACACACCUCUAAGCUAUGUCAGUGUUCACUUCUUUACUGACGCAGUAAUCAUGUCACAGGAGAAGCACUUCCAUUCUGUCUCUAGGGGUCCACAUAAUGUAUAAUAUACUUACAGUAGGACUGUCUUUGACUGGGCCUAUAUUACUAGAGUAAUAUAUGGUUAUGGCACAGAAAUUAUUCACUGAGGUCAUCGAGCUCUUGCAUUUCAGAAAGCAAAUAUUUCCUUUUAUUCACAGGCAAUUUAUCAUCUGAAACAGAAUGCAGACCAAAAAAAAACUCUAGGUCAAGUCAUGUGUCUUUCUUGCAAGGUUCUUGAUAACCUAUUUAUUGAGUGUAUCUCUAUGUGAUUUGCAGCUUUAUCUGGAAGUCUUUAAACAAAUAGUAAAGAUUUUUUGUUGUUGUUGUUCUAAUAUUCAUCUAGUAAGACAAGUCUAGGUAAUAGUGUCCUAAGCUUAGUUCAGCGAGUCUAGUAAGCUUACUAAGGCAAAUAGGGACAGACUGAGGGUUAGCAGACGCUAUAUAAGUGUACUGUAAACAUCAGUACAUGCACUAAACUAAAAUAUUUUCAGUUAUUUGUUAGAUAUUAGAUAGUUCUUUAGUUAUUUGUUAGAUAUUUAUUUUAUGCUAACCUGAAUUCUAGGAAUAGUGUUCCAAUAUGUAGAGCUACUGAAGGUUCUUCACUUCUUGUAAGGUUAAGAGCUUUUCAUUCAGAAACACAGAACCAUGCCAUGUCCCUCCAGGAUCUCCUAAGUAAGCCUGUAAACAAUUUUUCUACAUGCUUAUUAACCAAAACUAAAACAAGCAAACAGAAAAAACCCAAAAUCCAAAUCCUCAAAUUCAAAAAAACCCACCAAACUUAUUAUUAUCAAUGGAAUUUUCACUUACAUUUUAAGUAAAGGCCGAGGAAGAAAAAAUAAAGAACAAGAAAGAACAUCAGAGUGCUAAACUCAGCAACCAGUAGUGCCUGAAACAAAAUCUCAAAUGGAUCAGCUACUUGAGUUAUGUCAAGACUUAUUUUAUGUAAAUAAAAUAUUAGAUUCCUUCUAGUCAAAAACUGAUAAGAACUUCCAGAGAAUGAGUUUAUUUUUCUUAAAAUGGUGAUCAAAAUAAAGCUAGACAUCUAGGAAACCUCUUUAAUUCAGGAAAGACAGAGAUCAGAAAUCUGAAAUUAGAUUUUUUUCCAAUAAAGUCUUAUUUUAGUUAGAGAAAACCAGCAUUUUGGAUUAAUCUCUCCCUCUGUUUGUUAUUCAGAGAACAUAAGUACUAAAGCCUUAGGACUUUAUGCUUUGCUUUUCAGGUAUUAGAGAGCUGUUGUGCUGUUCUCAAAAGGGUAGCACUUAUCCUAGACAUAGUAAACUAGUUAUAAUAGAGAAAAGAAAACUAACAAUUCAGGAAUUGCUUCACAACCAGGCCAUAUAUAAAGUAACAAUUUAAUAUGUUGUUAAAAAACAUUAAUAGGAAAAAAUGUAUUUGUAAGCAAAUUCUUUGUGUGCAGAAACCUCAAUUUCUCUUGAUUUCUAAUCAGCUCUUUUGAAAGAGCUUGCUCUGUAGAUUUGUAAUACACUCUCUAAGAAGAAAACACAAAAUGGAGACACAUUCAUGCUUGUUUGAACAAGCACUAGUAAAAAUUUCAACUAUACUUUGUGACAUUCAGUUGGAGUGUUCUGGCUCUCUUGCUCAUAGUGUUGCUCUAUAAUCAGGGUCAUCUCUUUCUUGAUUCAGAGAACUGAUUUUAUCAACUUGAUUUACUUUCUGUUCUACCUCAAAUAUACUAAGUUACUCCAGGAUAAUCUAAGACAAAAUUUAUUCCUGUCAAUUAAGCAACAAUAGAAUGAAUUUUAAAAUAUUCCAAAGAAAUAUAACUGAAAAACCCCAACCCAGAGAUAGUGAAAAAUCCUAACAGUGUUAAACAGCUGUAUUAUUGAAUCAAUACAUUCAUAUAUUAUUUUUAAAACAUGGUUAUAUUUUUAAGGAAAAAAACUCAAUUGAAAAAAAAUCUUAAGUGUAUUUUUACAAUUAAAAAUAAUCCUUUGAGAUUUUUCCAGGGAAUCAAUGGCAUGUUUCAUAACUGGGAAGCAGUUUGCAGGUGAGUUGUUUGUAUGUACAGCUGCUUCAAGAACCAUCAUUUUCUCAUAAAGAACCUCCUUUCUGAUAGAAGGAAUGUAUUUGUAUAGACAAAUGCAAAUACUUAGCAUUUUGAGCUGUAAGUUAUGAAUGUAAAACUUAGCAACAUUUUUGGAAAGAAAGACAAUAUUAUAGACUACUAGUUAUAUAAUUUCUGUGGGAAAAAAAAUUACUAUCUCACAGCUCUAUCUUAAUUGUCAUAUUCCUUAUUAACAGUUGAACACUCAUUUGUGGUUUGACAUCAUGUUUACAUCAGUUUUUAUAUGGUGUAGUUUGUCUAUAUAUUGACACUAGAAUCCCUGUACAGUCUAUGGAAUUGCAUGGAAGUGGCUAGCUCUUCUCAGCCGCUAGCCCUGCAUAUUUUGUAAUUUAGUAAUCUCUUUUAAACUCCUUUGAUUUUGUAUUUAGUCCAAAACCAAUCCAGCAUAUAAAGUUCUCUCCCUGUUUUUCACCUCUGCAGCACUAUGGCCAAAGAGGACAUCUAACAAUUAAUAUGUUCAAUUACAUCUGCACAAAAUUUUAAACAAUUUAGUGCAAAAUUUUUUAAUACAGCUUGUUUUUAAACAUGCUUGAGUUUUGUAUAUUUUUGUACUACAAAAUGGAGCACUGACUAGAGAUAUGUUGAAUGCUAGAAUUAGUUGGUAAGUUUGCAUGAGUUACCACAGAACUAUUUAAGGAUACUAACUCAUAGCAUAUAAACAGUAUAGUCAGGUCAGCAGGGCUGUGUUUAGCCCAGAGCUGAUACAUUUCCAAAUUCAUAACUAGCUCCUUUGUAACUAGCUCAGACAUUUCCGCACAAUACACAGCACUAGGCUGGACAUACCUGUAGGCUGUUGAACCCAUGGUAAAUCACACUUACUGAGUAACUGGCCUGAUUUUCACAUUUUCAGAGUGACUGAGCCUCUUCAAACAACACUGGAGAUUUCAAAUAAAAUUAUACAAAUUUCAAGCAUAAAUGUAGUUAAUUAAAAAUACAAAUUCUCUAUAUUAUUAAAUAAGUCUGGAAUAAAUUCUGGUGGGUGUGAGGAUGUUGCUUGCUUUAUUUUGAUUAUAAAUAGAGUAUUGUUUUUACAGCGUAAGCCAGCUAGCUCUAUUUACAAAUUCAAUAUCAAUAAGCCACAUAAGAAAUGUUAAAAUAUGGAUAAAAUAAACUAGACAAUUACCUUGUUUCUAAACUUCAGAUGCUUAGAUAGACUAUUUGCUUCUGGCUGUGUUGUUUUGGUUUUUGGUUUUGUUUUUUUUUUUGGUUUUUUUUUUUGCUUUAAGUGCUGUUUUCAUCCUAUGAAAAUUAAUUAACAUGGUUAUUUUUGAGUCCUCCAGAGACACAUCUGUGAAACUAAGUUUAAGUACUUAAGUUAGACAGACUGGCUCUGUUCCAUCCUUUCUGGGAAGAAGUAACAGGCUAUUCCUGUGAUUUAUAUUCUAGCGAUAUGAGUAAUGUUCUUUUAUUAUACAGAAAUAUUUUUUUUUAGCCAUUUAGUUUCUUUUCAUUUAGUAAUUGAAACAAUUGGGACUUAAGUACUCAAUCUGUCACUUUCGUGCUUUGGCAAAUAGUUUACAUCAUCAGAAUCAGAAAGACCAUAUAGAUGCAAGGAGAACAUUUUCAGAGACUUCAAUCCAAGGAGAUGCGAAACAGCUUUGAACAGAAUUGGCCCUUAUUUAAUCAUUCUUCAGACAAUGCUGUUGCUCUCUCAUCAAGAUGUAAUACAACAGAGCUUUACCCU